UUGAAUUAUCGAACUUACUUUUUCUGACAGUCUUCUAUUUAUAGUUUAAAUUUUUGAUGUCUAUCAUCUAUGCCAAAUUCUUGUAAAUGGUAACUCCUUCUUAAGAAACCACACCUUUAUCAAAAGAAAUCGUGGCCCAAAUCCAAAUUAAAUGGAUCCAUGAAGAAAGCACAUUAAACUUGGUGUUACGUGUAUGAAUGUGAUUUUAGGGUAUAUUAGUUCCCACUGAUCUGUUUAUGUUUUGUUGUAUGAAACAUGUGAUUUUAAGAUUAACGUACACCCUCUUAAAAUGUCCUUCAUGUAUGGAUAUUGGCAUAUUGCUUGAUCUGGCAUACUUGGUCAUCUCUGUACCUGUUCUGUGUCCAUCAUCCAUAUAUUAUGGAUCUCGUGUGUGUUUCUAACAAAAUGCCAUUAGUGAUACAUGCGCUCAAUCCUAAGAGGUUAACACCCACUACCAGGACAAACACUUUAGCCGACGAAAAAUUUUCGUCGGCUUGUUAGCUUAAUUCGUCGGCUAAGAUCUGGCUCGUCGGCUAAGAUUUCGUCGGCUAUAGUCCCGCAGUUUAGCCGACGAAAAACAUGCCGUCGGUUUUUUUCCCAGACUUUAGCCGACGAAACAAUUAAGAUAUUCGUCGGCUAAAGUCUGUAAUAAAAAAUUUUUUCCCAGACUAUAGCCGACGAAAUAUAGUAUGUUUCGUCGGCUAAACCUUAUAAAAAAUUUAAAAAAAUAACUAUAGCCAACGAAAUAUAGUCUGUUUCGUCGGCUAAACCUUAUAAAAAAAUUUUAAAAUAACUAUAGCCGACGAAAUAUAGUCUGUUUCGUCGGCUAAACCUUAUAAAAAAAAUUUUAAAAAUAACUAUAGCCGACGAAAUAUGCCAUAAUUCGUCAGCUAAACCUUAUAAAAAAAAUUUAAAAAUAAUAUAGCCGACGAAUAAACCUUUAAAUAUCGUCGGCUAAAGUUGCUCGUUUUUGAAAAAAAAAAACUGCAGAAACUUUCGGCCACCUCCAAUCACCACCAAAAUUUGACAGAAUCUUUCUCUCAACAUUUCGAACAACUUUCUAGAAGAAGUCGAAGCCCAAUUCUAAGCCUAAACAGGUCAAUCGAAUCAAAAUAUAAAAAUCCCCAAUUUUAAACCCUAAAAACUUCAAAUCUUCGAUUCUCCUCACACACACCGAAUCGAGCUACCAAAUUCUAGGGGAAUGUAGUACUAAUCAAACUCAACUUAUCUAUAUAUAGAACUCACCAAAUGGUGACCUGAGGAAGGAGAAAUUCGAUCGACACCGAAUCCGAACCGGCGGAGUUUUGGAGCUCGAUUUAUCUCUCACGGCGGCGCCAUUCGAUGCACCACCUGUCCAGCAAUGAAGUAGAGACGACGGCGAAGCUUUUGGAACAAGUGUGGCGGUCUCCGGUGGCUUGACGGCGGAGCUAGGCCGAGAAAAAAAUCUGCCAGGCGAAAUAGACUUCUUACCAUCCACCUUCGGUAAAACUCCUAUAUAAAGAACUUUAGCCGACGAAAUUCUUUAUUUUCGUCGGCUAAACUCUUUUGAAACUUUUGAAAAUUUAAAAAAUUUUGGUUGACCGCUAAAAAAUUUUGAAAAUUUUUCGACUUUAGCUGACGACUUUUCAUAUAUUUUCGUCGGCUAAAGUCCUUUGAAAAUUUUCCUCCAAAUUUGGUUUACCGCCCAAAAAUUUUUGACCUUAGCCGACGACUUUUUUAAUAUCUCAUCGGCUAAAGUCUAUAAAUUCACGAAAACGCUCAUAUCUCCCUCUAUAUUACGUAGUUUGGUCAAACCUUCCACACGAAAAACUUUCACGUAGAUGAGACGCAACAACUUAUAUAAAAAUUUUGAGACAUUUGCCUUCCGACGAUAGGGCUCCCCAUAGGGAAUAAUAACGGUAAAUAGGGUUGACCGCUACUAUCGGCACCGAGACUUUACCCGAUUUACGUGAUUUUUGAACCAUAGCCGUAUUUCACCAUUCUGAACACAUCUUAUUUCACGAGAUUUUUGAUAAUUUUGCUUCCUAUAUAGAGUUGGUUCACAAAGUUGUAUAACCAAUUAAACAAGUUAUACAACAUUAGUAGACACGUUGUGAUUCCGAUGACUAAAAUUCACAAACCAAAAUUUGACCGUCAGAUAUGAUCAUUAUGACGAAAGAUUUCUAUGGUAAAAAAUUUAACUGGAUCCGACAACGUUAAGGACUCGAUCGAAACGGUUAACCCUAAUCCAUCGUCACUUAUCACACGAAAACGCUCAUAUCUCCCUCUAUAUUACGUGGUUUGGUCAAACCUUCCACACAAAAAACUCUCACGUAGAUGAGACGCAACUGUCCAUAUAAAAAUUUUGAGACAUUUACCUUCCGACGAUAGGGCUCCCCAUAGGGAAUAAUAACGGUAAAUAGUACACGUUGUGAUUCCGAUGACUAAAAUUUACAAACCAAAAUUCGACCAUCCGAUAUGAUCAUUAUGACGAAAGAUGUCUAUGGUAAAAAAAUUCAACUGGAUUCGACAACGUUAAGGGCUCGAUCGAAAUGGUCAACUCUAAUCGGAAAUAAGAAAACUGCAUUUUGAAGCCCUAAACGGACUCGGAUGGCCAAAAAGGCCCAUACAUCAUGGCAUUAGCGAUGAGUUUGACUCGUAGGGCCGUUACGUUUCCGGAAAGGUAUCACAAUAGUCAAUCGGACACCAAAAACCAAAUCUGCAGCAUAGUGAAUAAUAAGGGUAAAUUGCAUUGACUGCAACUAUCGGCACCGAGAUUUUACCGGAAUACUGUGAUUUUUCAACUGUAGACGUAUUUCACCAUUCUGGUCAUAUCUUAUUUCACGACUUUUUUGCGUUUGAAGGUUCUACGUAUAGUUUUUUUUUUCCCAGAUGAGUUGUUGUCUAGAUCUGUAAAUAUAAGGCACUUUAGCCAACGAAAUUAAGACACUUUAGCUGACGAAAUUAUAUUUUUCGUCGGCUAAACUUUUAAAAAUUUCGUCGGCUAAAGUUCACAGACUAUAGCCGACGAAAAAAAUUAUUCAGACGACGAAAUUUUAAUUUCGUCGGCUAAAGUUGACCAUAGCCUACGAAAAUUUUUAAUUAGCCGACGAAAAAAUAAUUCGUCGGCCUGGUUUUUUUAUUUUCGUCGGCUAAAGUCUUUCUUCUGGUAGUGACCUCAUAGGGAAACUAAACCGUAGGAAAGGUUUUGGUGACUGCGUGUAACUAUUAGGGAUACAAUAAUUAUUAUGGUUUUUAUAUAUGUUCGAUGGAGGUUUAUUUUCUUUUAGUGAUGGAUCAGUUUUUAUUUGGCAGUCGGGAUGAGUUCACGGAGGAACGAUUGGAGGCAUUAACAGAGGCCGAAAAGAGGUUAUAUAGAUGCCAUGUUAUAAAGAAUUGCACCGCCACUUGCCCCAAAAGCCUCAAUCCUGCCGAUGCAAUACAGAAAAUGAAGACCAUGCAUUUGCUCUCUCAGCCAGUUGAAGAGGUUGAGACUUGAGAGCAUGUAAACUAUAUAUACCUCCUGCUUGUUCGUUCAGCUCUUUUACCCGUAUUUUUUUUCUCUUUUCCCUUUGUCUUGUGUUGUUGACAUGUAUGUGAAUCAGUGAAUCUUAAUAAUAUGUACAUGUUACUUACCUACCGCUCCCUGGUAAAUGGUAAUCGCUCCGAAGCAAAGAACUGUGUGUAUGACAAAACUGAGAGCAAAGAUGUACGUACCACCAUUAUCUAAUCUAAAAUAACCUCCUAGACCCUUCAUUUCUCCUGUUCAAAAAAACAAGACCCCUCAUACGUACACUUUUGAAUGAUGUGUCAUGUUAGUUGGAUCGAACGA
rnacentral:lncRNA from 1 species